rnacentral:lncRNA from 1 species
GAAAUGGCCUGGCCCAGCUCCAGCUCGUCAUUCUGGGAGGAGGCACUGAGAAACCUUGGCCCUGAAUUGAUUUAGCCAAAGUGAGCCAGAGGACACCCAGAUGCUUCGCAGGAGGGGGAUCAAAUCUGUACUGAGGCUGAGGUUUAAUGUCUCUGUGGGUUUUCCUUCGUGACCCUACACAGUGAUUAUCCAGGGGCAUCUUGAGGAAUCAUAUUUGGAGAACUGCAUGAAAGCAAGCUGGCAGAUGCCAUAGUGAAUUGGCAAGUUUUUAUAUGCCUCUCCUAAGUGACAUGUGCCCUCCAUGGCUAACAGCUGGCUGAGAUCCUCUCUGUACACCGGGAUAACCAUAGCGCGGGGAUAUUUGAAGCCAGCUGCUGCAAGAGGAUUCCAAUGGACACCACGUACGAGUGUGGUAAAGGAGGUGCAUAAGGCAUCCUCUCCUGUGCAGACUCCCGUGUCGAAGCUAUUGGCACAGUGCACAGGCUGGGAGUAGAGUGUCCUCCCUGAAGCAGCUACUCCCUGCAGAGCAGAAGUCCAGGAAGGAGGUCAAAGCCUUGGCAGCAGCCAUUGGAUGUGUCCCUUCUGCACAGUCAGAGCAGCCAGGCAUCCUCAUGAGUAGGAAGAGAUGACACUGCCCAGAUCAUGCCAGGGAAUACACCUUAGGGUAGCUCUAGCAGGCACUGUCCUCUGUGCAAGGGCUAUAGUGUGACCACAGCUGGGAACCGAAAUGGGAAGGCCUGUUCUGCACUAAAAUCUGAUCCCAGUAUCAAAUCCCUUACUUUCAUUGCUCCCAAUUAGUCAUAUAUAUGUUACAACAAAGUGUUACAUAAAAAGUGUGUGUAGAGUAUUUUCACUAGGCAACAUGCAUUUUCCAUCCCUCUCUUGUUUUCUGUCCAGAGUCUUCUAGAGCAAUGGGAGAGCCCAUCUCUAGUACUGACAGAGCAGCUCUGCGGUCAGGGGCUGAAAUACUUCCUCAGGCCCCUGUAUAAUUAUCUCUCUUUUGAGCCCUGGCCAGCGUGACGCAUCUUCAUUUCACUAAGGGGACAGGCUAGAAUUGGCAAUGGCAGAAUUCAUUUAUCACAUUUUAAUAGAGAGGCAGCUCAGGAAGGGGGGGACUAAUGAGAAAUUUCUAAAGAAAUUAGCCAGCUUCUGUUACCAAGUUGUCACCUGUGAGGUGCAACAGUGAUGACGGAUGGCCCGGGGCAUGGCCCACCUUGCUUGCUCGAUGCCGCUUCCCUUCUCCCUCUGGUGGGCUGCCUUCCAGUGUGCCACCUCCCUCCGACUGUUCUUCUGCUGUGGGAACGUAAGAAACUUUGAUGUGUGGUGCUGAAGUCUGGCCCAUACAU